UGAGUAGGCGGUUGCAUAUGUCAGAUGUAAAAGGCACAGGCUCAACUUGUGUUAGCAUUUGAAACUGUGCGACUUGAGUGCAGGAGAGGUAAGUGGAAUUCCUAGUGUAGCGGUGAAAUGCGUAGAUAUUAGGAGGAACACCAGUGGCGAAGGCGACUUACUGGACUGUAACUGACGCUGAGUCACGAAAGCGUGGGUAGCAAACAG
rnacentral:rRNA from 1 species